AUUCAGAUCAAGGUCAAGGAAAGAUACUACAAUGGGUCUCCUUUGCAGUAUAAGCAGCCAUUCUUGGUAAAGAAAGACCCUAUUUGGAGUUCUGGCAAGACCAAAUAGGAGAAGCAGUGCAGACUCAUGAGUUCAUAAGUACAUGCCUCCAAUGUAGGUCACAACUACUAUAUACCACUCAGAAAGCUCUUGGAACAAGCUAUUGGCCUAAAAAAACCGGGCGUCUCACCAGCUGUCAUCUAAAAAAGACAAGAUUGGUUGACUAGAUCUGACUCACUCAGGAAAUUUUAUGCAGUCCCUGAGCCCACUUACCCAGGCAGGCUCAAACCAAGGAUUGACUGAUGAAAAGUUCUCCUGGUCUUUAUAGCUCUUCCCAAGGGCUUCAAUUCAUUGGAAUCCAAGCCUAAGGCUCAGGUUCAGAUGAUUUACUGAUGGAUUGCCAAGACAACAGUUCAGCUGUGUUAUGUGAUCUGGUGCUUUGCCCAG
ensembl:lncRNA